AACGUAGGUUCCGAGCGUUAUCCGGAUUUACUGGGCGUAAAGCGCGUUCAGGCGGUUUGGCAAGUCGGGCAUGAAAUCUCUCGGCUCAACCGGGAGAGGUUGUCCGAUACUGCUGGGACUUGAGGGCAGUAGAGGGUGGUGGAAUUCCGGGUGUAGUGGUGAAAUGCGUAGAUAUCUGGAGGAAUACCGGUGGCGAAGGCGGCAUCCUGGACCAUUACGUGACGCUGAGGAGCGAAAGCGUGGGGAGCAAACAGGGAUUAAGAA
rnacentral:rRNA from 1 species